CCUACGGGUGGCAGCAGUGGGGAAUAUUGCGCAAUGGGCGAAAGCCUGACGCAGCGACGCCGCGUGAGGGAUGAAGGUCUUUGGAUCGUAAACCUCUGUCAGCAGGGAAGAACGGUCACUGUGCUAAUCACCAGUGAAUUGACGGUACCUGCAAAGGAAGCACCGGCUAACUCCGUGCCAGCAGCCGCGGUAAUACGGAGGGUGCGAGCGUUAAUCGGAAUUACUGGGCGUAAAGCGCUCGUAGGCGGUAUGUCAAGUCAAGGGUGAAAUCCCCGCGCUCAACGUGGGAACUGCCUUUGAAACUGGCAAACUGGAGUGUGUGAGAGGAUAGUGGAAUUCCAGGUGUAGGAGUGAAAUGCGUAGAUAUCUGGCGGAACAUCAGUGGCGAAGGCGACUAUCUGGCACAUAACUGACGCUGAGGAGCGAAAGCGUGGGUAGCAAACAGGAUUAGAUACCCGAGUAGUC
rnacentral:rRNA from 1 species